GAUGAACGCUGGCGGCGUGCCUAAUACAUGCAAGUCGAGCGAACGGACGAUACGCUUGCUUUUCUGAUGUUAGCGGCGGACGGGUGAGUAACACGUGGAUAACCUACCUAUAAGACUGAGAUAACUUCGGGAAACCGGAGCUAAUAUCGUAUAAUAUUUUGAACCGCAUGGUUCAAAAGUGAAAGACGGUCUUGCUGUCACUUAUAGAUGCAUCCGCGCUGCAUUAGAUAGUUGGUAAUGUAACGGCUUACCAAGGCAACGAUGCAUAGCCGACCUGUGAGGGGGAUAGGCGACCCGAGAGGUGAGACACGGUCAUGAGUACUACGGGAGGGCGCAGUCGGGAAUGGUACGCAACGGUCGAAAGUAUUACGGAGUAACGCCGAGUGAGUGACGACGGUCUUGGGAUCGUAAUACUGGGUUAUUAGUGAAGAACCUAUUUGUACGUUACUGAGGACUGAGUGACGGUAAUUAAUAAGAAAGCCCCGGCUAACUACGUG
rnacentral:rRNA from 1 species